rnacentral:tRNA from 1 species
GCGAGAGUGGUGAAAUUGGUAUACACGCCAGAUUUAGGAUCUGGUGCCCUUGUGGCUUGCGGGUUCAAGUCCCGCCUCUCGCACCA